GUACACAAAAAUGCACAUAUUGUGAGCUCGAUGAGUAGGGCGGGACACGUGGUAUCCUGUCUGAAUAUGGGGGGACCAUCCUCCAAGGCUAAAUACUCCUGACUGACCGAUAGUGAACCAGUACCGUGAGGGAAAGGCGAAAAGAACCCCGGCGAGGGGAGUGAAAAAGAACCUGAAACCGUGUACGUACAAGCAGUGGGAGCCUCUUUAUGGGGUGACUGCGUACCUUUUGUAUAAUGGGUCAGCGACUUAUAUUCUGUAGCAAGGUUAACCGAAUAGGGGAGCCGAAGGGAAACCGAGUCUUAACUGGGCGUUAAGUUGCAGGGUAUAGACCCGAAACCCGGUGAUCUAGCCAUGGGCAGGUUGAAGGUUGGGUAACACUAACUGGAGGACCGAACCGACUAAUGUUGAAAAAUUAGCGGAUGACUUGUGGCUGGGGGUGAAAGGCCAAUCAAACCGGGAGAUAGCUGGUUCUCCCCGAAAGCUAUUUAGGUAGCGCCUCGUGAAUUCAUCUCCGGGGGUAGAGCACUGUUUCGGCAAGGGGGUCAUCCCGACUUACCAACCCGAUGCAAACUGCGAAUACCGGAGAAUGUUAUCACGGGAGACACACGGCGGGUGCUAACGUCCGUCGUGAAGAGGGAAACAACCCAGACCGCCAGCUAAGGUCCCAAAGUCAUGGUUAAGUGGGAAACGAUGUGGGAAGGCCCAGACAGCCAGGAUGUUGGCUUAGAAGCAGCCAUCAUUUAAAGAAAGCGUAAUAGCUCACUGGUCGAGUCGGCCUGCGCGGAAGAUGUAACGGGGCUAAACCAUGCACCGAAGCUGCGGCAGCGACACUAUGUGUUGUUGGGUAGGGGAGCGUUCUGUAAGCCUGUGAAGGUGGCCUGUGAGGGUUGCUGGAGGUAUCAGAAGUGCGAAUGCUGACAUAAGUAACGAUAAAGCGGGUGAAAAGCCCGCUCGCCGGAAGACCAAGGGUUCCUGUCCAACGUUAAUCGGGGCAGGGUGAGUCGACCCCUAAGGCGAGGCCGAAAGGCGUAGUCGAUGGGAAACAGGUUAAUAUUCCUGUACUUGGUGUUACUGCGAAGGGGGGACGGAGAAGGCUAUGUUGGCCGGGCGACGGUUGUCCCGGUUUAAGCGUGUAGGCUGGUUUUCCAGGCAAAUCCGGAAAACCAAGGCUGAGGCGUGAUGACGAGGCACUACGGUGCUGAAGCGACAAAUGCCCUGCUUCCAGGAAAAGCCUCUAAGCAUCAGGUAACAUCAAAUCGUACCCCAAACCGACACAGGUGGUCAGGUAGAGAAUACCAAGGCGCUUGAGAGAACUCGGGUGAAGGAACUAGGCAAAAUGGUGCCGUAACUUCGGGAGAAGGCACGCUGAUAUGUAGGUGAAGCGACUUGCUCGUGGAGCUGAAAUCAGUCGAAGAUACCAGCUGGCUGCAACUGUUUAUUAAAAACACAGCACUGUGCAAACACGAAAGUGGACGUAUACGGUGUGACGCCUGCCCGGUGCCGGAAGGUUAAUUGAUGGGGUUAGCGGUAACGCGAAGCUCUUGAUCGAAGCCCCGGUAAACGGCGGCCGUAACUAUAACGGUCCUAAGGUAGCGAAAUUCCUUGUCGGGUAAGUUCCGACCUGCACGAAUGGCGUAAUGAUGGCCAGGCUGUCUCCACCCGAGACUCAGUGAAAUUGAACUCGCUGUGAAGAUGCAGUGUACCCGCGGCAAGACGGAAAGACCCCGUGAACCUUUACUAUAGCUUGACACUGAACAUUGAGCCUUGAUGUGUAGGAUAGGUGGGAGGCUUUGAAGUGUGGACGCCAGUCUGCAUGGAGCCGACCUUGAAAUACCACCCUUUAAUGUUUGAUGUUCUAACGUUGGCCCGUAAUCCGGG
rnacentral:rRNA from 1 species